rnacentral:rRNA from 1 species
GUGGGGAAUCUUGCGCAAUGGGCGAAAGCCUGACGCAGCCAUGCCGCGUGAAUGAUGAAGGUCUUAGGAUUGUAAAAUUCUUUCACCGGGGACGAUAAUGACGGUACCCGGAGAAGAAGCUCCGGCUAACUUCGUGCCAGCAGCCGCGGUAAUACGAAGGGGGCUAGCGUUGCUCGGAAUUACUGGGCGUAAAGGGCGCGUAGGCGGAUCGUUAAGUCAGGGGUGAAAUCCCAGAGCUCAACUCUGGAACUGCCCUUGAUACUGGCGAUCUUGAGUGUGAGAGAGGUAUGUGGAACUCCGAGUGUAGAGGUGAAAUUCGUAGAUAUUCGGAAGAACACCAGUGGCGAAGGCGACAUACUGGCUCAUUACUGACGCUGAGGCGCGAAAGCGUGGGGAGCAAACAGGAUUAGAAACCCGUGUAGUCC